ACUAGUGAUUUCCGUAGGUGUUCCUGCGGAAGGAUCAUUACCGAGUGAGGGCCCUCUGGGUCCAACCUCCCACCCGUGUUUAUAUUACCUUGUUGCUUCGGCGGGCCCGCCUAAACUGGCCGCCGGGGGGCUUACGCCCCCGGGCCCGCGCCCGCCGAAGACACCCUCGAACUCUGUCUGAUGAUUGAAGUCUGAGUGAAUAUAUAUAUUAUUUAUAACUUUCAACAACGGAUCUCUUGGUUCCGGCAUCGAUGAAGAACGCAGCGAAAUGCGAUACGUAAUGUGAAUUGCAAAUUCAGUGAAUCAUCGAGUCUAUGAACGCACAUUGCGCCCCCUGGUAUUCCGGGGGGCAUGCCUGUCCGAGCGUCAUUGCUGCCCUCAAGCCCGGCUUGUGUGUUGGGCCCCGUCCCCCGAUCUCCGGGGGACGGGCCCGAAAGGCAGCGGCGGCACCGCGUCCGGUCCUCGAGCGUAUGGGGCUUUGUCACCCGCUCUGUAGGCCCGGCCGGCGCUUGCCGAUCAACCCUAAUUUUUAUCCAGGUUGUCCUCGGAUCAGGUAGGGAUACCCGCUGAACUUAUGCAUAUCAAUAAGCGGAGGAAAUC
rnacentral:rRNA from 1 species